UACGGAGGGGGCUAGCGUUGUUCGGAAUUACUGGGCGUAAAGCGCACGUAGGCGGAUUGGAAAGUUGGGGGUGAAAUCCCGGGGCUCAACCCCGGAACUGCCUUCAAAACUCCCAGUCUGGAGGUCGAGAGAGGUGAGUGGAAUUCCUGGUGUAGCGGUGAAAUGCGCAGAUAUCAGGAAGAACACCCGUGGCGAAGGCGGCUCUCUGGAACGCAACUGACGCUGAGACGCGAAAGCGUGGGGAGCAAACAGG
rnacentral:rRNA from 1 species